CUUGUUUCCAACUUUUACUAUUUUCGUUUCCUAGUGUGAAAAGCAUAGUAAAUAUCCUCCAUUCAUGCUGCAAUCCAUGUGUUUAUUUAGAUUGAUUGUGUAUUUCAAUGAUCUUUAAAGCAAUACAAAAGAAAUAUUAGACUUAAAAGGAGUAAUAAUAGAUAGACGCCUGAAGUUGGCACCACGGUCAGAUAGAUACCUUAAAUGUGCCAGUGAUCAUUAGACACCUUUUCUUGGCAGAAAUCUGUAUCAUGAACACCUGUGUUUGUGAGAUCACCUGCUUGGGACUCACUCUUUGCUGACGUAUCAGAUGGUUAAAUGAAAUGAUGACGUGUAAAUUUUAUUAUAAAAUAGAAAUAUAAUAACUUAUAAAAAAACAAAAACCAGCUAUAAAUAAUAUAAAAAAAACAUACCCCCUCCCUCUACUCAAUUCCUUCGUCAAAAUGUUUCAGAACUGAACCUCCCCCUCCCCUUUUUCUUCAACCACUUGUCCCCCUUCCCCUCUCCCUCUUUUUCUUCAAAACCCUUCCCCUUCCUCCUCUUAUUCUUCCCCAUCCUUUCUCCUCCCCACCUGCCACCUUUCCCCUUCCCCCUCCUAAAGAAAAUCUCUCAGAACUGUUGGGAUCGGAAUCCAUCUCUCAGAAUUCUGAAUUUUUUUUUAUUUGAAUGAUAGAAUUAUCAAAUCUCCUCAGAGUUAAUUGAGCGUUCAGUUUUUCUUCCUGAAUUUUGAUAUGGGAAACAUUAUGCACUUUUAAAAUAAGUUAUAGAGGUUAAGUUGUACUUUAUGUGAAAUUAGUUGGCUUUUGAGUCAUUAGGAUUGAAGUCCGUCCUGUGCUUUCUACUGCUUCAGUAUUUUGCAAUGUCAGGGAAAUUUACUCCAAUUAUUCAAGAUGUGUCGUAUCAUUUUGUAUUUUUCAGUUGGUUGUGGUGGAAAAAAUUAAACGAGUGAGAAUAAGGUGGGGAUACUUCCACAAUGUCUUGCCUCUUUUCUGAUACCCUGAAACCUUAUUGAUUUAAACUAUUCUUCUUUCAAGAUUUGUGUCUGUGGUUGCAAUAACAUUGCUAUCCUGUCCCCUUACCCCCUUCGGCCAAAAAAAAUAAAAUAGAAAACCCAAAAACAAUAGCCAUCCUCUAAUAUUGACCAAAUUGGAUCAUGAGCACCUAUGAAUCAAAGGGAAUGUUGAUUAUGGAGACUCCUCUUAUCCCCUUAUUUAUUAUGAUUAUGGAAAUUUUAUUUCUUGAUGCUCAAAAGAGCUAAAAGAUUGGUGUGGCCUAGUAGUCAAUGAAGUGGGUCGAGAAACAUGAGGUCUCAUGUUCGAAUCUUAGCAGAGACAAAAGCAUUAGGUGAUUUCUUCAAAUUUGUCCUAGCCUCAGUAAACAGAGUUAUCUGAUACCUGUUGAUGGUGGGAGGUGACAAAUUUCCCAUGGAAUUAGUUGAGGUGCGCUCAAGCUGAUCCGGACACCUCGGUUAUCACAAAAGAAUUGCUGAUGAGAGGUGACAAUUAUUUCAUGAAAUUAGUCGAGGUGCGCGCAAGCUGACCUGGACACCACCGUUAUCAAAAAUAAAAAAGAGAGCAGAAAGAUUGGGGUGGAUCGCUGGCUUUUAAGGUAGAAGGAAAUGGUGACAAAAAGGUGUCCGUCUCUCAUAUUUUGCAUGCUGAUGAAACACCGUUAUUGUGUACGGCAAAGAAGGAACAAUUUCCUCUUGUCAGAGGGAUUUUGUUAACCAUUAAAGCUGUCACAGGUUUGAUAGCUUACCUCGCUAAGAGCCACCUGUUUAGUGUUGAAGUUGAUAGUAACAUUGAAGAGUUGGCUGGAAUUAUGGGAUGUAAGGUUGAGAAAUUCCUUCUUGUACAUUUGGAACUACCUUCUUGAACUAUUGUAGAAGAUGUGUUUUGUUCCAAGUGGAUAAGGUGGAUCAAGCAUUGAAUCAACACAGUCAAAUUCUCAGUAUUGGUCAACACAGCCUACUGGUUUCUUCUCCUCGUGCAGAGGCUUGAGACAAGGAUAUCCUUUCCUCUUCAUCCUAGCUAUGGAAGGCAUGAGCAAUAUGAUAUAGACUGCAAAAGUAAAUGGAUGGGUAAAAGGUUCCCAAGCAAAUCCCAGGACAAUGAAUGACUUAGAAAUCAUCCACCUGCAGUAUGCUGAUGACUCCCUGAUUUUCUGUGAGGCUUCCAAAGAACAAAUUCUAUUAUUGAGAGUGAUUUUCAUCCUUUUUGAAUCCACAUAGAUUUGCACAUUAAUUGGAAAAAGAGUUGCAUUUAUCGUAUCAAUGCAGUGACUGAUAUUCAAUCCUUGGCUGAUAUUUUAGGAGGAGAGAUAGGAGCUCUUCCUACUAAAUACCUAGGUAUGUCUCUGGGUGCAAAGAGCAAAUCCAAUGGGAUUAAAAAAAAAAGUGAAAGAAGACUAACCAACUGGAAAAGUCAAUACAUUUCUAUGGGUGGGAAAUUGACUUUGAUCAACAGCAUGCUUGAUGCUUUAUCCACAUAUAUGAUGCUUAUCUUUCCUGCCCCUGUUAAUGUGAUAGAAAAGAUAGAUGACUUAAGGAGGAAUUUCUUCUGGCAAGACAAUGAUGACAAGAAGAAAAUCCACCUUGGUAACGUUUCGAGGGAGAACAAUAGAAGUCUGAUGAUGAAGUGGUUGUACCGAUUUAACCCAGAUGACAACCAGCUUUGGAAACAAGUUAUUAAAGCUAAAUAUGGAGAGGAGGGGUAAUGGACAACAAAGGAAGUGACUACUCCCUAUGGAUGCAAAAUCUGGAGAUCUGUCAGAAACCUUUGGCCAAUUUUCCAACAAAGAAGAGGCUUCAAAAUUGGGAAAGGAAUGAAAAUGACAUCUGGAUUGGAGAAAACACACCCAAACAUCUCUUUCCAUAAUUAUACAGCAUAUGCCAACAACAAGAAGCAUCAGUCGCUGACAUGUGGACAGGGCAAGUAUGGAAUCUCAGUUUUAGAAGAUUUUUGCAUGAUUGGGAGAUGGAAAAGAUAGUAGAUUUCCUUCACAUUCUAUCUCAGUUCAAUGGUUUUUCAGAAGAGGCGGAUAGCUUGAUUUGCCAAUGUCACAGCAAAAGGGAAGUUUUCUGUAAAGUCUGUUUGCAGAGAUUUCACUGCCUCCAACAAUCAAGUGGGUUGUUGGCCAUGGAAGAUGAUCUGGAAAGUGAAAAUUCCUUACAAGGUAGCUUGUUUCACAUGGCUGUUGACCAAAGAAAAGGUUCUGACUCAUGAAUAUAUGAGCAAGAGAGAAAUGCAACUAUGCACCAUAUGCUAUCUUUGUAAUGAACAGAAAAUCAAUUUUUAAAUUACGUUAUGGAGGGCCAAAAUUGGGUGUCAACAAUAUCAACUAUGGAAGAUUUCAUCAACUUGAGGAAAAUUAAGUGGGUGAUGCCAAGAAGAAUAAAGGAACUGCUAAACUGUUGGAACAGUGAUGGCAAUGCAGCUUAAAGGAAGGAGAGAUAGAAAUUGUCCCGGCAUAUAUUUGGUGAUCAGUUUGGAAAAGAGAAAUCAAAAGAUGUUUUGAGGGCAAUUAUUGCAACAUCCAAAAGUUCAAGAUGAAUUGCCUAGCCCUCUAUUAUUUUUGGUGUAAAUAGGAAUUGUUAGUACAAACUGAAGAUAUUUUUGAUGUUCACAGUUUGUAAGGGGCCAUUUGGUAGAGUGUAUAAUGCAAAAUAUAGUGUAUUAGUAA